rnacentral:rRNA from 1 species
UACGUAGGGGGCAAGCGUUGUCCGGAUUUAUUGGGCGUAAAGAGCUCGUAGGCGGUUUGUCGCGUCUGCUGUGAAAACUCGGGGCUUAACCCCGGGCCUGCAGUGGGUACGGGCAAACUAGAGUAUUGCAGGGGAGACUGGAAUUCCUGGUGUAGCGGUGAAAUGCGCAGGAUAUCAGGAGGAACACCGGUGGCGAAGGCGGGUCUCUGGGCAAUAACUGACGCUGAGGAGCGAAAGCGUGGGGAGCGAACAGG